AACGCGAAGAACCUUACCGGGGCUUGACAUCUGAGGAAAUCCUACGAAAGUAGGCUUCCGGGAAACCGGACCUCAAGACAGGUGCUGCAUGGCUGUCGUCAGCUCGUGCCGUGAGGUGUUGGGUUAAGUCCCGCAACGAGCGCAACCCUUGUCGUGUGUUGGUCAGCAAUGAUCUCUCACACGAGACCGCCGGUGAUAAGCCGGAGGAAGGUGGGGAUGACGUCAAGUCAGCAUGGCCCUUACGUCCCGGGCUACACACGUGCUACAAUGGGCGCGACAACGAGCCGCAAACUCGCGAGAGUAAGCCAAUCUCUUAAACGCGUCCUCAGUUCGGAUUGAAGGCUGCAACUCGCCUUCAUGAAGUCGGAAUCGCUAGUAACCGCAGAUCAGCUACGCUGCGGUGAAUACGUUCCCGGGCCUUGUACACACCGUAGUAC
rnacentral:rRNA from 1 species